UGCCACUCUGCUGCCAAUAGGAUUAAUGGGAAGAGGUCGAAUUCCUGGGAAGAGGCCCGGGCUCAUCAUACAAGCUCCGUUCCGGAUCACUCCCUGAGGAACUGUGGAGAAGAAGUGGAGAAAAUGGACGUUAAUGAUGGACCAUUUCAGCCUCUAUUCACAGAACUCUGGACCAUCAGGACCAUUUAAACACACCAUGGAGACGGCGGUGCCUUUAUCCACAUCUACUGGAUGCAAAAAAAAAAAAAAAAACACCUCAACUCCAUCAGUGUGGCUUUGUUUAAACUUCAGCUGCUUCACCAAGUCUAAUCUGAAGGUCUAAUCUGAUCCAAACAGCACACAAUUUCGGUCUAAAACAAUACUCCAAAAGAGAAGAACAAAAAAAAGCCUGCAGGAUUUCCAGCUGACUGGACAUAGAUCAGAUGAAGCCUGUGAGAUCAGACCUGACCAGACUCGACAGCUCCUCUCCUCGGCUGAUCCCAGGACGAGGCAUCGUUUCGCUCUGUCCAGGAAAUGGCCUCUGAUCGAAAGCAGAUGGCAGACGUGGAAAAAAGGAGGAAAACAACUAUUCACUCGAAUUCCAGCACACCCUCUACCCAUUAGGAAGGAGCGCAGUUGCCUAGGCAACCCCUCCCUCCCCAUGUAUAUGCCAUACUUUCAGAAGUGUGAGGUGCGGCGUGCGUAGAGGAGAACAGCUGCGCUGGCGUUGGCCCUCUCUGCCCCUCAGAAAGGUGAAGAGACAGCGUGACGACGUGAGUGCGUGAUGUGAAGUGACAGAAGGACGCAGCCCUGGUCCUGAUUAGCGCGGACGGGCGGCCAAACCGAAUGCUUAAUAAGCUUGCUUCGUGUUGAGCCAUCAGGAACGACAGCAAGAAACAAAAGGCAUGGAGUUCUCUCAGGAUGCUCGAGGGAGGGUUUUUCAGCGUGUUUAAAGAUUUACAUUCUUUUGUUUCAAUCUUAACAUAAAGAUCAAAAUUUGUGAAUUAUUUAUUUCAUUAUCUCAGUAUCCAGUGUGCUUUCUGCUUACGGCAGUUUAAAGACUUCACAGAAAGGUGUUGGUUCUUUAGUCAAUAUCACUUAGCUGAUAUUAACGUGUGUGUGAACAGGAACAAAGUGGUUUAGUUGCAGUAAAGCAGUAUAGCUCUAAACUAUGCUAAAAGUAUAUAACAAUCGGUUGAAAGAAUAAAAGCAGCACGGUGUGAAUGAGGCAGAGUGGCUCCUGUAAGGCACUGGGUUCUGUACAAACACUCACACUGAGAAAACUGAGUGCUUUUGCUGCUCCACAAGCAAUGAAAGCACCAAUCUGGUCUCUCAGUGGAGCUCAGAGCCUGUGGGUAGACGCCCUGGACCUCUCAUCUCACUAAACCAUGCCGAGUGCAGUGAGGGAAACGAUGCCGUCCGUACGCAUGUGCGCCGUCUCUGAAGUGUUUUAAUGGCCUGGGUUUACGGGCUCGAAAACAGAACCUCAAUGAGAUCAAUCUCCAGCACAGAAAAAAAAAUUAUACCACUUCUUUUCCCUUGUUCUUUCCUGGACGCUAAAAUAAAUCUGCGUUCACAAUUUCACAGCACAUGUAAUGCAGUUACAUUUUUUCUUUGUCAUCAUUCACGUUUAAAACGGAUUUCAAACGAGCUAAUAACAGCACAUCCUCAUCCCGCGCUGCAAUACUGCGAUGUGUCCAGCAGGGGGUGCAGCACUGAGAAAACGCACGUGGAGAGGUUCCGUUAAUAAAAAAAAAAAAACUUAAUAGUGACGUUAAAAUGACCGUGAAAUGACUUUGUACAACGAGUUAGAUUUCUCAAAGUCAUCUAAAGCUGCUAAAUAAUAACAUUUUCAUUUCCUAAACCUUUUAUACGUGCACCGGAGCAUCA